UACGAAGGGGGCUAGCGUUGCUCGGAAUCACUGGGCGUAAAGCGCACGUAGGCGGAUUGCUAAGUCAGGGGCGAAAUCCUGGAGCUCAACUCCAGAACUGCCUUUGAUACUGGCGACCUUGAGUCCGGGAGAGGUGAGUGGAACUGCGAGUGUAGAGGUGAAAUUCGUAGAUAUUCGCAAGAACACCAGUGGCGAAGGCGGCUCACUGGCCCGGUACUGACGCUGAGGUGCGAAAGCGUGGGGAGCAAACA
rnacentral:rRNA from 1 species